GACGAACGCUGGCGGCGUGCUUAACACAGGCAAGUCGAACGGAAAGGCCCUGCUUUUGUGGGUUGCUCGGGUGGCGAACGGGUGAGUAACACGUGAGUAACCUGCCCUUGACUUUGGGAUAUCUUCAGGAAACUAGGGCUAAUACCGGAUAGGAGCACCUGCUGCAUGGUGGGGGUUGGACAGCUUCGGCGGCUGGGGAUGGACUCGCGGCUUAUCAGCGUGUUGGGGGGGGAGUGGCUUACCAAGGCAUUGACGGGUAGCCGGCCUGAGAGGGUGACCGGCCCCAUUGGGACCCAGCUCCGGCCCCGACGCCUUCUGGCGGCAACAGGGGGGAGUUCAGCACAAGGCUGGGCACCCUGAGGCAGCAACGCCGCGUGCCGGAUGACAGCCUUCGAGUUGUAAGCCGCUUGCGCCUGUGCCGACGGGUCAGUGACGAUAAUCGCUAGAGAAGAACCGGCUAACUCCGUG
rnacentral:rRNA from 1 species